rnacentral:rRNA from 1 species
UCAGCUUUGUAUCCUGUUGAAAAAAAUGCUGAUAGAUUAAAUUCAGUUAAAAAGCUCGUAGUUGAAAUUGAGGAAAAAGAUGGUUUGAAAUCUAUGACUGAGAGCUAUCUUGUCCUUCGAAGUUGUGUAUAUCUUUGAUGCUCUUUAAUGGGUUUUGAGGAUGACCGACAAGUUUACUUUGAAAAAAUUAGAGUGCUUAAAGCAGGCUUACGCUUGUAUAUUGUUGCAUGGAAUAAUAAAAUAGGACUUCGGUUUUAUUUUGUUGGUUUUCGAAACUGAAGUAAUGAUUAAAAGAGACUGCCGGGGGCAUAUGUAUGCUGGUGCUAGAUGUGAAAUUCUUAGAUCAUCAGCAGACAGUCUACUGAGAAAGCAUUUGCCAAGAAUGUUUUCAUUAAUCAAGAACGAAAGUCAGAGGAUCGAAGACGAUCAGAUACCGUCCUAGUUCUGACCAUAAACUAUGCCAACUGACAGUUCGCGAAGGUAAUUCAAAUCUCCUUGCGAGAAGUCACCGGGAAACCUAAGUCUAUGGGUUCCGGGGGAAGUAUGGUUGCAAAGCUGAAACUUAAAGGAAUUGACGGAAGGGCACCACCAGGAGUGGAGCCUGUGGCUUAAUUUGACCCAACAUGGCAAAUCUCACCCGGUCCGGACACUGUGAGAAUUGACAGAUUGAUAGCUCUUUCUUGAUUCGGUAGGUGGUGGUGCAUGGCCGUUCUUAGUUGGUGGAGCGAUUUGUCUGGUUAAUUCCGUUAACGAACGAGACUCUAACCUGCUAAAUAGUACAUUUGUGUUCUAACGCAAAUGCUGACUUCUUAGAGGAAUAAAUAUCGUUUAGCUAAAUGAAAUUGAGCAAUAGCAGGUCUGUGAUGCCCUUAGAUGUCCGGGGCCGCACGCGCGCUACAAUGGCAGUAACAGCGAGUUUUAUUCCUAGCUAGAAAUGGCCGGGUAACCUGCUAAAUCACUGUCGUGUCAGGAAUAGUGAAUUGAAAUUAUUUCACUUGAACGAGAAAUUCCUAGUAAGCGCAAGUCACUACCUUGCGCUGAUUACGUCUCUGCCCUUUGUACAUACCGCCCGUCGCUACUACCGAUUGAAUAAAUUAUGAAAUAUAACUGAAAUCUUUGAUGGUUUCUUGAGUUUAAUAUUACAAGAUUUAUGAACUGCACCAAGAUAAUUAUUAAACUCUAUUAAAUGAUCAUGAUCUCGAACAGAGGUAUCUUCAAAG